rnacentral:lncRNA from 1 species
AAACCCUCUCGGCCAGCAACGAGACCGGCGCCAAUAGCACUUCCUCUCCAGGGGUCUCGCACGGGAGCUAUAGGACAGUGUGGCACAGACUGUGGCUGCACCGGUGAUCUCGCAAUCGCCGUCCACGGUGGCGGAGGCGAGACCGGUGUAGGCCGCUACAACUCUGAAUCUCGGUCGCAGGCUGGUGAGUACCGCCUUCUUCGAGGACCCCCCAGCUUGCUUAUAGUAAGCCGAUGAUCGAUCAUCAGAGUCAUUCUGAUGUGGCAUGGCGUGCAUGCUAGAUGUUUGCUCAUUUGCUUAUGUUGUCUAUGGUAGGUUCUUUCCACUGAAUGUUUUUACCCCUGCGACUCUGCUCCCCCGGGACGAUCUCCACUAGCGCCGCUGCCGCCUCCUCUCAGCCUUCGCAAGCAGCGGGUGGAUGCACCAGUCACCGAUGAUGCUUGCUAAAAUUCCACAUGUUGUGGUGGCGACGACGAACCCGCCUACAUGUGCACGGAGACAUCUUCUAGCCCCUUGUCAAGGCAAGUCACAACCUAAGGCUUGGUCUUCGUUUUUGGACUGGUGUUUGAUCUAUAGCUAAUUGUUUAUAUGAUGGAUAUGUGCAGGCAAGAAGCAGACUGAUUUUUGUGUAAAACCUGGCUUCUUCUAGAAAGGGUUUGCGUUCAGUUUAUGGCUAGUUGUUGGGGUGCUGGACGAUGCGCAGGCACGGGUCACCAAUGCUUUUUAUGAUCCAUGGAACGGUAAUGACUGCCUAAUUCACAAGGGAUGGAUUUUGAUUGUUAAUAUAAUUCAGUACUGUAUCCAAACUUUUCUGAAUCAGUUAUCCGUGUAAUGUAUCCAAAAUUUUCCGAACCACUUUUCUGAAUCAGUUAUCCGUGUACUGUAUCCAUGUUUCGAUUUUGGUGUGCAAACAAAUUAGAAUGAAAAUGCCUCCAUGUCAACCAUGCAUUGGUUGAAUAUUAAUUUUAACCAAUAAUGUGUAGCAUAUGUCAUUCAAAAUAGAAGCAGCCAAACUAAUUCUGAAGGUCUACAUGGUUCGUUGGGCAUCUGUCAUUAAUACUGAAUUUUCAGUGAGAGCUACCUCGCAGUGUAGUAUUUUUAACCAAGAUAUUUGUUUUGUUCCAUUACCAACUGAGCAUAGGUUCAUAUAUUGUUAGGUGACAAAGAUGCAGCUCCAAAAAAAGGAAAUAGAGAUGGGUUCAGAUAUCGUGAGACAUAUAUUGUCAUGUUAGGAAUAUAUAUUAGGACUCCAUUCAGUUAUACAUAUAAAAGAUGACUGCUUCUGUAUUUUCGCCAAUAUUUUUAUGAUGAUCUUGUCAAUAGAUUGCUACUAGGUCAUCUGUUGUAUGUGAUUUUGAGGUCUAUGAUACCGGGGACAUAGCUUGUACGUGUUGUUCAAAGAUGUAAAUUAGAUUCUUUUAUGAGGUUAUGCGAAUCCGUGUUAACUUGAUGCCAAUUGCUAAAUCUUCCAUAUAUUAAUGUAUGCCUAUUUCUACCAGUGCCCUUCUAUCCAUAGCUGAAUCUGAAGGAUACAUGAAGUAUGAGUGCUGGUAACUGAUAAUGUAUUUAUUUGGUUAUUCAAAGCUACUCCCUCCGUAACCAAAUUCGGAGGGAGUAUGCAACACUCUUUGUUCAAUUACUACUUAUCUAAGAAUUUCAUUCUACAAUACUUUUUUUAAAUUCACUCAAAUUAAUGUUGCAUCAGUUUCUAGACUUCAAGGUAUAACACUCUACAGUGGACUUGUGAAAUCUGAGAUUUAGUGUUUAGGAUAUUAUGAUUUCCAAAAAUCUUGAAUGUAAAUCAGCAAAUGUGUGAUGUGCAUACAAAAAAGUUGCUAGAAUUUUGAUAUUUGAAUUGAGAUUCACACAUGUCUUACUAUUAGCUUCCCCUUGAAUAAUUAUUUCAAGUCAGCAGCUAUAUGGAAUUGAGGGUUCACUGUUUCAUUGACAGCUUUAUGUCAAUAUAGUAUUAUCUUUAGUUUGGACUUUUGACUUGGCCAUAAUGGUAGACUAGGAAAUAUCCGUCCCAUUGGUCGGAAUACUUAUUGUCGACAUUACUGUUAAUAUUUGAUGAUACAUAUUACCGGUUUCUAUUGUUUCUAGGAGCUGCAAGGCAGUGGUCUUUCUGAAAUGUCUAGCAUGUAGAUCGUACUUAUAGUAAAAAGGAACACCUGGCCUGAUCGUGUAUGGUGCUAGCAGUUAUCUGUAGGUAUAGCUAAAUUGAAGAUAUAUUCUCGCUAUUUGCCUCUGUGAGGCUUACGUUUUUUACCAUAUGACUCAGGAUUGUUGUAGGCUUGUAGUAGCCAUCUGUAGAUCAAAAUAUAAAAUUAAGAUGCUCUACGUGAAGGCGAAGCUAAUAUUUUUCUUGCUACCGCAACAGUGCAUUCUGUAGCAUUCUAUUUAUUUUGUAUUCAUUGAAAAAAUUUAAAGGCGCAAAAAUAUAUAUAUUGUGAUCUUUAUCCUAACUAGACCAUGCUAAACAUAUAUUUUUCGAAGACAUCGUUGGGAAGGCAAUGGACGGAUAUCCACCUUUGUUAUGUGACCCUUAUCCUAACUGGCGCAAAAAAAUUGAAGGCGCAAAGAUAUAUUUUUUGAAUUCAUUUUUUGUAUUCUAUUACCCAUGGCAACGCAUGGGCAUUCAGCUAGUAAAAAAUAUAAAAGGUAGAGAUACUUGGUAGAUCGUUUUUACGUACUAUUGGUGCCGUGAUUGAUAUGAAAGAAGGCAAUAUUACAUUUCAAUUUCCUUUGAGCAAGGGUAUGGGACACUUUCCUAUAACAAGAAUUAAGCCACUACAUUAAUCAAUCAUGAGGGCAUCUUAUGGAUCUAGAUCUCAAGAUGACAAUGCUUAAAUCUAUGCACUAUGCCUAGCUAGGGGCAUAAAACGAUAGCGCUUGUUGGGAGGCAACCUAAUGAAUAAAAUUUAUUUUUGUCUUUUUCUUUCUGUUCUUGAGUGUUUGCACGAUUAUGCCACUGUUAUGAUUGUUUUUUUGUGUUUUAGUUAGUUUUUGUGCCAAGCAAAGCCCUUGGGGUCAUGUUGGGUGAUAGUUGAUUUGAUCUAGUUGAAAAACAGAAUCUUUGCGCGCCAGUCAUAGAAUUGUGAAAAAUCACAGAAGCGCGAUAAAAUCCUGAUUUUUGUACACAAAAUUGAUAUACAAAUUUCCUACGUUUUUCCUAAUUUCUCAGAAUUUUCAGAAUUACAGAAGUAUUCAAAGUUUUCAUAUUGCUACAGACUGUUAUGUUUUUGACAGAUUCUGUUUUCUUUGUGUUGUGUGCUUAUUUUGAUAAAUCUAUGGUUUGUAUUAGAGGGUAUAAGCCAUAGUAAAGUUGGAAUACAGUAGAUAUAAUGCAAAAAUAAAAUAUGAAUGGGUUUGCAACAGUACUUAGAGUAGGGAUUUGCUUUGUUAUACUAACGGAUCUCACGAAGGUUUUGUUGAGUUUUGUGUGAUUGAAGUUUUCAAGUUUUGGGUGAGAUCACGAUGGAUGAAGGAAUAAGGAGUAAGAAGAGCCUAAGCUUGGGGAUGCCCACGGCACCCAAGUUAUUAUCCAAAGAGGAACAAACAACUAAGCUUGGGAUGCCCCGAGUGGCAUCACCUCUUUCUUCUAACGACCAUCGGUAUUUUACCUGGAACUAUAUUUUUAUUCGUCACAUAUCAUGAGUUUUGCUUGGAGCGUCUUGUAUUAUAUGAGUCUUUGCUUGUUUUGCUUUUUAUUUUAAGUCAAGUAUCCGUGCUGAACACACCUAUUUGAGAGAGCCAAAAUUAUGCUAUGAUUUGUUAGAAUUGCUCUAUGUGCUUCACUUAAAUUUUUUGAGCUAUGGAAUUGCUCUAGUGCUUCACUUAUAUCAUUUUGAGCAUGGUGUGCUUUAUUAUUUUUGAAGAAAUGCUCUCAUGCUUCACUUAGAUUAAUUUGAGAGUUAGUGAUUUUUUUUAGAAAUUCUCUCAUGCUUGACUUAUAUUAUUUUGAGAGAAGGAAAUUUUAUGCUCAUGUUCUUCACUUAGAUUUGUUUGAGCUAUCAAAAGCAACAUAUGAAACUAGUCCCAAAGUGAUAGAUAUUCAAGAGGGAUAGACUAAGAACUUUCAUAAAGAUCAUUGCACAAAAUAAACUUGAUUCUUUGUAAUAGUUUUGCGAUAUGAUGAUAGUGAUAUGUGAGUCAUGUUGGUGAGUAAUUAUGGUUUAGUAAGAAUAUUGAUGUUAAGGUUUGUGAUUCCCUAUGCAAGCACGAAAGUCAAUAGUUAUGCAAUGAAAUUACAUCCUACUUGUGGUGCAUUAUUUGGUGUUAGUUAUGCUUAAUGCUCGCUUAUGAGAUUUUUCGUUUCUUGGUUGGAUGCUUCUCAAUCUUUUGCUAGCCUUCAUUUGUACUAAGUAUGAUCACUACUUGUGCAUCCAAAAUACUUAAACAAGUUUUUGCCAUAUGAGUCCACCAUACCUACCUAUAUGGAGUAUUCUUUUGCCAUUCUAAGCAAAUUUGCAUGUGCCAUCUCUAAUCUUCAAAAUAAAUUUCCUUUUUGUGUGCUCGUACCGCUCAUGAAACGGUAGGGGGUGGCUGAUAUUUUUCCUAGCUAGCUGUGUUAUUCUCAAGAUGAGUGUUUAUUCACUUGUCAUUGCACGAGAGUACGGCAAAGGUAUUAGGGAUGCCAAGUCCUGGAAUGAAAAAUGAAUUUACUUUAUGUUGUAAAAUAAUAAAUUCCUUGGAAAGUGUUGGUAUGGACGGCACCCGUGGAAUGUGAAAAGUAUGGUGGAAAUAGGAAUAAACUUUAUUUUCUGUUUGGGAACCGCCUUUGAUAUAUCUAGCAUGGAAAGUAAUGGGAACUACUCGAUCAUUUUCGUUGACAUGAAAGGCAUGCCACCCAAAAUGUUGUAUCUCUUAAUUUUUUGCUUUGAGCUCUAGGACCUCUACAAAUCCCUACUUCCUUUUGCGAAGGGCCUUUCUUUUUUACUUUAUGCAAUUUUUAUUUUGAGUCUCCAUCUUCUCUUGUAAAGCACCAACUAAGGGGCACUAUGAUCGUACUUGAGCAUUGGGUGUAGCUAAUAUGCGAGUGUGUUUCAUGAAUAGAUCAAUGAUUGAGCAUAAUGGGCUAGGGAUAACUUGCUUUAGUGUUGAUAUUUUGAAACACAUGGUUGCUUGUUGAUAUGCUUGAGUAUUGAAAUCCUCAUGUCAAAACUAGAGUAUUGCUUUGAAUCAUAUAGAAGUCCAAAUGUCCAUGCUAAAAAAAAAAGAAUAUGCGAUGAACAUCGUGAUGGUUCGACCUCCCCUCGUGGUUCGACGACCUCGUUCGAUCCCCCCGCCUCGUACGCCAACCAUCCCCACCCCACGAUUCGACCUCUUUCUAGUUCUACUGCGCGAUUAAAAAGGAAGAAAACAACCGCCGGUCCGCCACCCACGCACGGAGUCCCACACAUCCCACGCACAUCUUCCCAAUCCAUCUCGCCGCUGAGAAAGAUCGCCGCCCCGCCCUGUCCUGCUGCACGCUCCUCUGCCACGACUACUCGAUGAGCCGCCCUUCUUGAUCGCUGUCCGUGGCUCGUCUCGGUCGCUGUCGUGUGCCUCGACUUCUCUGGUGGUUGGGGUCAACGGUGUAGGCGGAGUCGCAACCCGCGACAACCGUAGAAGCAGGCUCCAUCGGGGAACGCGACGGGAACCUGCCACCGGAGACGCUUCAUGAUGGUUCCAAGCGCGCGGCAGCUAUCCGGACGCAGGCAUCGCGUGCGAGCUGGCCUAGCCACGGGAAACCCUCUCGGCCAGCAGCAAGACUGGCGCCAAUAGCACUUCCUCUCCAGGGGUCUCGCACGGGAGCUAUAGGACAGUGUGGCACAGACUGUGGCUGCACCGGUGAUCUCGCAAUCGCCGUCCACGGUGGUGGAGGCGAGACCGGUGUAGGCUGCUACAACUCUGAAUCUCGGUCGCAGGCUGGUGAGUACCGCCUUCUUCGAGGACCCCCCCAGCUUGCUUAUAGUAAUCCGAUGAUCGACCAUUAGAGUCAUUCUGAUGUGGCAUGGCGUGCACGCUAGAUGUUUGCUCAUAUGCUUAUGUUGUCUAUGGUAGGUUCUUUCCACUGAAUGUUUUUACCCCUGCGACUCUGCUCCCCCGGGACGAUCUCCACUAGCACUGUUGCCGCCUCCUCUCAGCCUUCGCAAGCAGCAGGUGGAUGCACCAGUCACCGACGAUGCUUGCUAAAACUCCACAUGUUGUGGUGGCGACGACGAACUCGCCUACAUGUGCACGGAGACAUCUUCUAGCCCCUUGUCAAGGCAAGUCACAACCUAAGGCUUGAUCUUCGAUCUUGGACUGGUGUUUGAUCUGUAGCUAAUUGUUUAUAUGAUGGAUAUGUGCAGGGCAAGGAGCAGACUGAUUUUUUUGUACAACCUGGCUUCUUCUAGAAAGGGUUUGCGUUCAGUUUAUGGCUGGUUGUUGGGGUACUGGAUGAUGCACAGGGACGGGUCACCAAUGCUUUCUAUGAUCCAUGGAACGGUAAUGACUGCCUAAUUCACAAGGGAUGGAUUUUGAUUGUUAAUAUAAUUCAGUACUGUAUCCAAACUUUUCUGAAUCAGUUAUCUGUGUAAUGUAUCCAAAAUUUUCCGAACCACUUUUCUGAAUCAGUUAUCCGUGUGCUCUAUCCAUGUUUCGAUUUUGGUGUGCAAACAAAUUAGAAUGAAAAUGCCUCCAUGUCAACCAUGCAUUGGUUGAAUAUUAAUUUUAACCAAUAAUGUGUAGCAUAUGUCAUUCAAAAUAGAAGCAGCCAAACAAAUUCCAAAGGUCUACAUGGUUCGUUGGGCAUCUGUCAUUAAUACUGAAUUUUCAGUGAGAGCUACCUCGCAGUGUAGUAUUUUUAACCAAGAUAUUUGUUUUGUUCCAUUACCAACUGAGCAUUUCAUAUAUUGUUAGGUGACAAAGAUGCAGCUCCAAAAAAAGGAAAUAGAGAUGGGUUCAGAUAUCGUGAGACAUAUAUUGUCAUGUUAGGAAUAUUUAUUAGGACUCCAUUCAGUUAUACAUAUAAAAGAUGACUGCUUCUGUAUUUUCGCCAAUCACUACUGCAAUCAGCUAAUUUGCCAUCUGCCAGCUCUUUGCCGUCUGCUAGCUGACGGCAAAGAAGCUCUUUGCCAUCAGCUACCCAAAAGCAGAUGGCAAAGAAAUGGCAGACGGCAAAGAAGCUCUUUGCCGUCCGCGAGCUCUUUGCC